UGACCGCUGGCGACAUGCCUUACACAUGCAAGUCGACCGGCAGCACGGGUGCUUGCACCUGGUGGCGAGUGGCGAACGGGUGAGUAAUACAUCGGAACAUGUCCUGUAGUGGGGGAUAGCCCGGCGAAAGCCGGAUUAAUACCGCAUACGAUCUACGGAUGAAAGCGGGGGACCUUCGGGCCUCGCGCUAUAGGGUUGGCCGAUGGCUGAUUAGCUAGUUGGUGGGGUAAAGGCCUACCAAGGCGACGAUCAGUAGCUGGUCUGAGAGGACGACCAGCCACACUGGGACUGAGACACGGCCCAGACUCCUACGGGAGGCAGCAGUGGGGAAUUUUGGACAAUGGGCGAAAGCCUGAUCCAGCAAUGCCGCGUGUGUGAAGAAGGCCUUCGGGUUGUAAAGCACUUUUGUCCGGAAAGAAAUCCUUGGCCCUAAUACGGUCGGGGGAUGACGGUACCGGAAGAAUAAGCACCGGCUAACUACGUG
rnacentral:rRNA from 1 species